UACGUAGGGGCUAGCGUUGUCCGGAAUCAUUGGGCGUAAAGGGUUCGCAGGCGGUCUGAUAAGUCAGAUGUGAAAGGCAAUGGCUCAACCAUUGUAAGCAUUUGAAACUGUCAGACUUGAGUUAAGGAGAGGAAAGUGGAAUUCCUAGUGUAGCGGUGAAAUGCGUAGAUAUUAGGAGGAAUACCAGUGGCGAAGGCGACUUUCUGGACUUAUACUGACGCUGAGGAACGAAAGCGUGGGGAGCAAACAGGAUUAGAUACCCUCGUAGU
rnacentral:rRNA from 1 species